AGGUCCUACUCUUCUACUGACAAGUGGUAUUAUCAAACAGCGUCUUGGAGCUGCUGCACUUGACAGUGUUCAUGAGUACCGUCUGUCCAGCUGGCUGGGCCAACAAGAAGACAUCCAUCGCAUAGUUCUUUACCAGACUGACUACACACUGACCCCGUGGACACAGAGGUGCAUCCGUCAGGCUGACUGCAUCAUUAUUGUGGGAUUAGGCGAGCAGGACCCUACUGUAGGGGAGCCACAGUACCCUGAGCACCCUACAGUCCAUGGAUUGGUCAAACCCGUACUGAGGCCCCUUAUGUGACAGCUAACACUUGCCUGAAACUGGGUCAUGCAACAUGGAUUUCACCUUCGUCUGUGUCACCCAAAAGAUGGACACCUGCUGAUAGAUGGAGGCUAUAUCAACAACCUGCCUGCUGAUGUUGCGCGCUCCAUGGGGGCCAAAGUGGCAAUAGCUAUUGAUGUGGGCAGCCGGGAUGAAACCAAUCUCACUAAUUACGGCGACUCACUCUCGGGCUGGUGGCUGCUAUGGAAACGCCUUAACCCCCUUGCUGAGAAGGUUAAGGUGAUGGAUUGAUUAGGAGUAAAGACACACCAUGCUGUGCAGCAAUGUUUUUAAUUCUAUCAAUAUAAAU